CAGCAGCCGCGGGAAUACGGAGGGAGCUAGCGUUGUUCGGAAUUACUGGGCGUAAAGCGCACGUAGGCGGUUAUUCAAGUCAGAGGUGAAAGCCCGGGGCUCAACCCCGGAACUGCCUUUGAAACUAGAUGACUGGAAUCUUGGAGAGGUCAGUGGAAUUCCGAGUGUAGAGGUGAAAUUCGUAGAUAUUCGGAAGAACACCAGUGGCGAAGGCGACUGACUGGACAAGUAUUGACGCUGAGGUGCGAAAGCGUGGGGAGCAAACAGGAUUAGAUACCCGCGUAGUCCCUGUCUCUUAUAC
rnacentral:rRNA from 1 species